rnacentral:rRNA from 1 species
GAGCGCGAAAGGCUUUCGGGCUGAGUAGAGCGGCGGACGGGUGAGUAACGCGUAGGAAUCUACCUGGUAGUGGGGGACAACUUGGGGAAACUCAAGCUAAUACCGCAUACGCCCUAAGGGGGAAAGCGGGGGACCUUCGGGCCUCGCGCUAUCAGAUGAGCCUGCGUAGGAUUAGCUUGUUGGUGAGGUAAAGGCUCACCAAGGCGACGAUCCUUAGCUGGUCUGAGAGGAUGAUCAGCCACACUGGGACUGAGACACGGCCCAGACUCCUACGGGAGGCAGCAGUGGGGAAUAUUGCGCAAUGGGGGCAACCCUGACGCAGCCAUGCCGCGUGUGUGAAGAAGGCCUUCGGGUUGUAAAGCACUUUAAGUGGGGAGAAAGGCUCGUUGGUUAAUAGCCAGCGGGAUUGAUGUUACCCACAGAAUAAGCACCGGCUAACUCCGUGCCAGCAGCCGCGGUAAUACGGAGGGUGCGAGCGUUAAUCGGAAUUACUGGGCGUAAAGCGCGCGUAGGCGGUUUGUUAAGUCAGCUGUGAAAGCCCCGGGCUCAACCUGGGAA